rnacentral:misc_RNA from 1 species
GAUGAAGAACGUAGCGAAAUGCGAUACGUAAUGUGAAUUGCAGAAUUCAGUGAAUCAUCGAGUCUUUGAACGCACAUUGCGCCCCCUGGUAUUCCGGGGGGCAUGCCUGUCCGAGCGUCAUUGCUGCCCUCAAGCACGGCUUGUGUGUUGGGCCUCCGUCCUCCUCCCGGGGGACGGACCCGAAAGGCAGCGGCGGCACCGCGUCCGGUCCUCGAGCGUAUGGGGCUUCGUCACCCGCUCUUGUAGGCCCGGUCGGCGCUUGCCGACACAUCAAUCUUUUUUCCAGGUUGACCUCGGAUCAGGUAGGGAUACCCGCUGAACUUAAGCAUAUCAAUAAGCGGAGGA